rnacentral:rRNA from 1 species
GAUGAACGCUGGCGGCGUGCCUAAUACAUGCAAGUCGAGCGAACGGACGAGAAGCUUGCUUUUCUGAUGUUAGCGGCGGACGGGUGAGUAACACGUGGAUAACCUACCUAUAAGACUGGGAUAACUUCGGGAAACCGGAGCUAAUACCGGAUAAUAUUUUGAACCGCAUGGUUCAAAAGUGAAAGACGGUCUUGCUGUCACUUAUAGAUGGAUCCGCGCUGCAUUAGCUAGUUGGUAAGGUAACGGCUUACCAAGGCAACGAUGCAUAGCCGACCUGAGAGGGUGAUCGGCCACACUGGAACUGAGACACGGUCCAGACUCCUACGGGAGGCAGCAGUAGGGAAUCUUCCGCAAUGGGCGAAAGCCUGACGGAGCAACGCCGCGUGAGUGAUGAAGGUCUUCGGAUCGUAAAACUCUGUUAUUAGGGAAGAACAUAUGUGUAAGUAACUGUGCACAUCUUGACGGUACCUAAUCAGAAAGCCACGGCUAACCACGUGCCAGCAGCCGCGGUAAUACGUAGGUGGCAAGCGUUAUCCGGAAUUAUUGGGCGUAAAGCGCGCGUAGGCGGUUUUUUAAGUCUGAUGUGAAAGCCCACGGCUCAACCGUGGAGGGUCAUUGGAAACUGGAAAACUUGAGUGCAGAAGAGGAAAGUGGAAUUCCAUGUGUAGCGGUGAAAUGCGCAGAGAUGUGGAGGAACACCAGUGGCGAAGGCGACUUUCUGGUCUGUAACUGACGCUGAUGUGCGAAAGCGUGGGGAUCAAACAGGAUUAGAUACCCUGGUAGUCCACGCCGUAAACGAUGAGUGCUAAGUGUUAGGGGGUUUCCGCCCCUUAGUGCUGCAGCUAACGCAUUAAGCACUCCGCCUGGGGAGUACGACCGCAAGGUUGAAACUCAAAGGAAUUGACGGGGGCCCGCACAAGCGGUGGAGCAUGUGGUUUAAUUCGAAGCAACGCGAAGAACCUUACCAAAUCUUGACAUCCUUUGACAACUCUAGAGAUAGAGCUUUCCCCUUCGGGGGACAAAGUGACAGGUGGUGCAUGGUUGUCGUCAGCUCGUGUCGUGAGAUGUUGGGUUAAGUCCCGCAACGAGCGCAACCCUUAAGCUUAGUUGCCAUCAUUAAGUUGGGCACUCUAAGUUGACUGCCGGUGACAAACCGGAGGAAGGUGGGGAUGACGUCAAAUCAUCAUGCCCCUUAUGAUUUGGGCUACACACGUGCUACAAUGGACAAUACAAAGGGCAGCGAAACCGCGAGGUCAAGCAAAUCCCAUAAAGUUGUUCUCAGUUCGGAUUGUAGUCUGCAACUCGACUACAUGAAGCUGGAAUCGCUAGUAAUCGUAGAUCAGCAUGCUACGGUGAAUACGUUCCCGGGUCU